UUGACNNUNGGGGGGGCCGUCCCCCCAGUCCCUCGGUCAUUUUUGCCCUUGGGCCUUUAGAUAUGGGCGUUGCCUGUGCCAUAUACCCGGUCCCUUGGGAAAAGGAGGGGAACCACAAGGCAAUUUGCCCCCCCCCGCCUUUUUUGGCGAAGGGCGGCCCCGGGGCGGGGGUUGCGCGCCCCCCGACAAAAAGGCCGUCAGGCCCUCGUCCCGGUUGGGGUCCCGAAGUCCCGCGAGAGCUUUUUGAUGUGGGGCAUGCCGCGGGGUUUGGGGAAUUUGUUUUCCCGAAACCGGACACCUCGGUCGGUCGUCGAGCCGCCCUCAUCGAGACGACGGCCGGCCCGCCGUCGGGCCCCUUUCGCCCCCCGCGGGCGGGCGGGCGCCCCGGCGGCGGCGCCGGCGU
rnacentral:misc_RNA from 1 species